rnacentral:rRNA from 1 species
GUUGACCUCGGAUCAGGUAGGGAUACCCGCUGAACUUAAGCAUAUCAAUAAGCGGAGGAAAAGAAACCAACAGGGAUUGCCCUAGUAACGGCGAGUGAAGCGGCAACAGCUCAAAUUUGAAAUCUGGCGCAAGCCCGAGUUGUAAUUUGUAGAGGAUGCUUCUGGGUAGCGGCCGGUCUAAGUUCCUUGGAACAGGACGUCAUAGAGGGUGAGAAUCCCGUAUGUGACUGGCUUGCACCCUCCACGUAGCUCCUUCGACGAGUCGAGUUGUUUGGGAAUGCAGCUCUAAAUGGGAGGUAAAUUUCUUCUAAAGCUAAAUACCGGCCAGAGACCGAUAGCGCACAAGUAGAGUGAUCGAAAGAUGAAAAGCACUUUGGAAAGAGAGUUAAAAAGCACGUGAAAUUGUUGAAAGGGAAGCGCCCGCAACCAGACUUUGCGGCAGUGUUCCGCCGGUCUUCUGACCGGUCUACUCGCUGUCGUGAGGCCAUCAUCGUCUGGGACCGCUGGAUAAGACCUUAGGAAUGUAGCUCCCUUCGGGGAGUGUUAUAGCCUCUGGUGAUGCAGCGCGUCUCGGGCGAGGUCCGCGCUUCGGCAAGGAUGAUGGCGUAAUGGUUGUCGGCGGCCCGUCUUGAAACACGGACCAAGGAGUCUAACAUCUAUGCGAGUGUUCGGGUGUCAAACCCCUACGCGUAAUGAAAGUGAACGGAGGUGGGAACUUUUUGUGCACCAUCGACCGAUCCUGAUGUCCUCGGAUGGAUUUGAGUAAGAGCAUAGCUGUUGGGACCCGAAAGAUGGUGAACUAUGCCUGAAUAGGGUGAAGCCAGAGGAAACUCUGGUGGAGGCUCGCAGCGGUUCUGACGUGCAAAUCGAUCGUCAAAUUUGGGUAUAGGGGCGAAAGACUAAUCGAACCAU